AGUAGACAAAUAAGAUUACGUUUUCUCUACACAGGCUUGCAGGCCUUUUUUUCUUUUUUCUUUUUGCCAGCAGAUGCACCUGGGGGAGGAGACGGUGAAGAAGAACUCUGAUUGCUUAGCAUCAGCCUCGACAGCGGAGAUGGCAUGGUGCUCGGUAAGUGAGGAGAGCUGCCAGGGAACACGCGCCUACUGUGCACAGAAUGCAAGUUCCCACACUGUGGAAUUACUGUUUUCUCAACAAAUACUUGUCACAAUCAAGUAAACGUUGCAUGCACACACAGGUGAAACUCAAGGCAUCUUUUCCAGAGUUUCUGUUGCAAAAUGAACGAUGUCUUUGCUACCAUUGAGGCUCAUGAGAAAUACAAGUGUUUCAGGACAGCAGAAUAUCUUUAAGAAUGCCCUUUGUCGUGCUUUCCUCUAUUUUCUUAGGCCUUUGAAGCACAGCAUGAUGGUAUCAAGCAAGCGCACAUCCACUUCAUUUUGAAUAUCUGAUUUUUCCCUCUGGGGGAGCAGUGACGUGUAUUGUUACGGAGGUUCUGUUUGAAAAUCCGGAGUCAUCGUACACAAGUGGGCAUUUAGAGCAGCAGGUGCAGAGACACUUGCACGCGUGUCAUGCUGCAGAAGGAGAAGCUGGCCUGACCCACUAAUUGCUUCAGCUGCAUCCUCUAAGCUCGUUCCCCAGAAGUUUCCACAAGAUGAGGUGCUAAAGUGGUGCUGUAGUUGCUGGCACACGUCACUUGCUUUCUGGCCAGCAGUCUCUUCUGAAAGUAGAACGUUCAUCCUGUCCAGGAGACGACAGUGCUGCGAACCAGAAAACAGUUGUCAAAAGAAGCUGUUAGAUUUCAGUGCAUCCAGAUGCAUAGGAAAUGCUAACUAUGGGAUAAACUGGAGGCAUAUUCACCACUCAACUGACAAAUGCUCAUCCACGGUGACGCUCAGACUAGCACCCAGUUACCCUGAUGACUACAGGCCUUUCUCUAAGAGAAGCCUAAGGAGUCUCAAGAGAAGGAAAUGCAGGUACAGACAACAGCAGCCCCAGCUGGAUGAGAAACACUGAAAAUCAGUACCUGCUGGCUGCUGGGUGAAACAUAGAGUCAAUGGAAGAAGUGUCCACAUUAAAAAUGAAGAAAAAGCACGUCGGCAAAUUAUUCUUGACUCAUUUCUGCUGUAGAUGACAAGUAAGAAAACAGCACUGCAGAUUUCUGAUGACUGUAAGGCCUUGCCAUCCCACCCCUAAGCCAAGUGUCUCGACUGUGGUUAAAGCAGUUUGAAAUCAGCAACCCUGUUUCCUGUAAACAACUGGCAAAGCAAACACAGAAAGCUACACUGGGGCUGUUUGCUUUUGGACUGGGAGCGGCAGAACAGCAAACAACGCUGAACACAGAAUGUUAACACUCCCACAGAAGUGGUUUCAGAACAAAUGGUAAAAAUGUGUGCAGGUACAGAGACCUGUGGUCACCUCUCAAAGAGAGGCUUUCCCUCCAGUCACCUUCAGCAGAAUCACUGAGAAAAAAAAUUAUUAAAAACCAUUUAAGUUAGAGUUACAGAAGCAGCUGAUGUCACACCACUGAAAAAGCCUCCGUUGCCCGUAAUUGAAAGUACAGAUUGCCCAUAAAAAAACGACAAUUUAUCCAGUUAUUUUUGUCAAAAAGCAAAUGAAGCCUUUAAGCAAUGUUUCCUCUUUACAGUAUAGUUCAAUUUGUACUGAUGUUAUAUUUUUUGUCAGAAAUAUUACUAAUACUUUGAUGACAACUUUACUUUUGUAGACUGAACAAUAUCAUUUCAAUGCUAGCUACAGGAGUGCAAAAUGAAGUGCUGAAUUUUUCAGAAAUUCAGAAUAUAUUUUCAGGAAAUAACUUUUAGGACACUCAUGUUUGUAGCAGAAAUGCUAAGUCAUGGCCUGAAGCAGUGAUGGAGCAGCUGGGGGGAAGGCAGGGCCAGCCAGGGGAGCUCAGGUGCAAGCAAUGCAAUGCAGCUGUGUGACCGGAAGGGGUGGAUCCUGGAUCCCAGGCCUCAUUUAAGGGUUGGCAGUGGAGAGAAGGGUAUCUUGCUAGAGAUCCCUGCGUACCUGAGGCCUUCUGAAGCAGUGUACUAAGGAAGAUGUCUGCUGGCAUAUGGAGUCGAUGAAUCAUGAGAAUAGAAUGGACGAAUUAUGGAACUGUUUUAGGAUAGAGAGCCCUCUGUUCCAAGGAUCUGGGGGAGGAGAAGGGCGUACAUGGAAAAUGUGCAUACACAUGGCAGAGGCUGGAUUCUGAGAGCAAACAAAACCUGACCUUGCUUCCAGAGCUCACUUUUUACACAGUUAACGAGUGCUGCCAUCUUCAAAGCAGUGCCACUCCAGGAAGUAAUGUCUAGAGCACUUUUUCAGAAAGGGAGCCUGGCAACUCCCUUUUCAGGCUCAGAUAUCAACUUGGUAUUGCCAAGACAUUUUACAUCAGUUAAAAUGAUUGUAAUAUUUUGUUGAACUUUCUUAACUACACAGUUAAAACUAUUCAGAAAUCAAUUUUAUAGCUAUUAAUUUUCAGAUUUUGUCUGACUGUAUUACAGCUUCCCUUAUUUGCAGUCUAAGGAAAAUGUCACAAAAAUGACUGGGGCUGAACUCCAGGGCAGUAUUGCUGGUCAUACAGCACAGCCAGAGCUGAAAAAUUCUAAAAAGCAGAGUCAGAGGAACAAAGGAUUUCUGACCAACAGAACCAAUAACUUAAAAUUGUCAUGUCAGAUAACUUCACAGUCUUAUUAUCUGCCAUGGUGUAUGAAGACAUUGAAAUAAAACCUUUGUCUUAACCCAACUAGACAUGACAAAAUAAGAAAAAAAGCUGAGGGAGAAAGUAGUUCACAUGGCAUCAUUUGGUUGUACAGUGAGUAACGCAGCCUAGGCCGCCUCAUUGUCAAUGUAGUGUCCUAUAUUCUAGUGAUACACUAGCUCUCAUGAACAGAAUAAUUAACUGGAGGAGAACAGGAGGCACGUGAUUAGAUCCUACAGCUUUCUAUUAUUUAGGAUGAAUGGAAAUGAAGGGAAACACUUUUAAAAGGGGCAACUGGAAACAUCUUUUUAUGCAGACAAGAUUAGAGUUGGCACAGUCUUCCAAAAAAAAAGAGCUGAAGAGGAAUGCAUUCUGGUCACUCAAGUCAAUAAACCAUCACAUAAUCUGAUAUGAAAGUUGCUGUGUGCCCUUCGCCACAAGAAUCCAAUGCGUUAACCAAGCUGGCAGAAAAGAGCUGGCUGAAGAGGAACAAGCUGUGUAUUUCCACAAGUUGUGUCAUGGAAAAUGAAACAGCAUCGGCUGCGGUGACACACUGAGGAGUGCCAGCUCCCCCGGGGUCACAGAGCAACGCGGUCUGCGUGAAGGCCACGACGUCCCCGCGCGGAGCGUCGGUACGGGAGCUCCCAGGGCAGGGCAGUGCCCAGCAGCGCGUCCCAGCGCUCCUCCUGACUCACAGCCCCACACCCUCGGGCUUCAUUUUGCACGUGCCAUUCCUGUCGUGCGCUAAAGUGAUUCUUCAGGUGUUACAUAAAGAGUAAAUGUCAGCCUUCGUUUUGGUGUGUGCACAUAUUUGUGGGUUAUGUUGUUUAUUCAGUCAGGUUAGCUAAAAAAUGUUGAGGUAUUCACUUUCCUAUGUUGUUGCCAACAAAAAGGAUGACUAAGAUAAAAAUACAAAGGUGUUACUUUUAACCACUCAGUGCCUUCUGUGGGUAUAUUUUGAAGCUACAUAGAACACGGGUUACUAUGUGUUUAAUAAAUCCGGUGGAUUAUCACAGUAAGAAAAAAGAAAGAAAUGGAAAACACGCUAAGCAAGGCGCUCAAUUUCAUUUUCUGCUAUUUUCUAGGUCACCCAAAGGUUGAUUUGUUUGAGAAGCUGAAAGCCUGCGUUUGGUCCUGCAGCACACAGAUGCACUACGCUGAACUGGUUUCGUCAGACCAAGCCUUCUCACUGUAAUUUUUCAGUAAUUGGAUACCUAAGACCAGAGAAACAGAAAAUACACCGUGAUCCAAAAAGAGUAAAGUUGACUUAAGUGAACAA